rnacentral:misc_RNA from 1 species
GAACGCACCUUGCACCCUUUGGUAUUCCGAAGGGUAUGCCCGUUUGAGUGUCAUUGUAAUCUCACACCCCUAGAUUUAUUCGACGGGCGGUGGACUUGGAUGCUGCCGCGUUAAGCGGCUCGUCUUAAAUGCAUUAGUGCAACUUUCGGUUGGACAUAGUGCAGCGUGAUAAGUAUCUUCGCUGGCUCUCCUCACGGAGGUGUUCGAACGUUAAGCUCUGUGCUUCUAAUCGUCCCCUGGUGGACUAAGCUUCGGCUUACUUGACAACUUGACCUCAAAUCGGGUAGGACUACCCGCUGAACUUAAG